UGCGGGGAGAAGUGAUAGUUGCAGGUCGGAUGAGGACCGAGGGAUCCGGCGGGGACAGUCUCCGUGGCCACGGUUCUAGUACUUACAGGUUGCGCGUGGCUCCUCCGUGUCUUUGCUGCAGCCCAAAGCGUUUCCUCGCCUCUGGCCGCAGUCCGGUGGCUUGUGUGUAGCACAGGAGGAAAGACCACGCCGCGCAAGUUCAAGACGUCAGCCAUUCGCGAAGGAGGCAGAUGGGACCGCCUGGGGACUCUUCGAGAUGCCGCAGACCGAACCUCGCCGGCUCCAGCACGUGCUGCUUGAUUCUACCACGUCGCACCGACCGAGUUAACCAAAAUGUGCCCGAAGUAGUCUUCUGUUUGUGCUGUAAACAAUUUCCACAACCCUUUUUUCUUUUUAAAAAAAUUUUAAUUUUAAAAAAUUUUAAAAAUUUGUUAAAAAUUUUAUUUAAAAUAGCACAAAUGUGUCACAGGAACAUUAAUGUAGAUUCGCAGCCUGAUUUAGGUCUCAAUCCGAUGUCAGAGGUCAGAAUUCCUACCUGGAGGGUGCAAGGAAUUGUUUUCUUGCCCUUUCUAGUUUCUAUCUAUUGGCCCUUUUUCUCAGCGCCUGUGGUAUUUCUCUGAACCUUCCCUAUCAAAAGCAGCCGCUAAUAGUUAAAUAAUUGAUAGUAAUGUCAUUUUCAGACCUGUAUCUUCAAUAUCAGCAAAGCUUUUUGCUGUUUUAGAUAAUAGUAUGUUUUGGGGUUUCAGGAAUUAGGACACAAACAUCUUUAGGGGCAGUCGUUAUCUUGUCUACCCAAGGGCUUAAAUUAGGAAAACCAGGUGACUGUUCUGCAAAUAGAUCAAAACUCUGACAAAUACUAAACAUUAGUAGCAUGCUUUAUCUAGAAUAUCACUUAUUUGCUUGCCAGCAGAUAAAAACGUUUAAGAGAAACAUCCAACUCAUCCAUCCACAGAAUGAGAUUUUGCUGUUUAACUUGUGUUUUGUUGUUCUCAUUCAUGACCAUAACAAUGAAGCUAAUAACAGUAACCUAUUUAAAAUGGGUAACUGU